GCAUUCUCCUCUGGUCCCACCUCUCCUCGUGCCUGUAUAUUGCUCUGUUGGGUGUUGUCUGGGUUUCCAAAAGUUAUUCCCAUUAUUGUAGCCAGACUGAGUACUCCAGAAGCCAGGUUUGGGUGUUUUUUUUCCGGGCAGAGUAGAUUUUGCACAAAGUUGCCUCUUUGAAGGAAUGUAGAACUGAAUUCAUUAUUUUAGCUAAGUCAGGAUUGGAACUUUUCGAAGGUGUUUGUGAGUGAAAUGUUGACUGGAGACUGCCCACAAGAACGCCUGCUACUUGGGAGCCCAGCCACUGGUGUCUCCGAGCCAGAGGGGACCCAGUUGACUGCCUUGGCCAUCCGUGCUCACCUCACACCUGGCCUGGCCUGGAGAACAUACCCCUUCUUCCAAACCUGCCCCGCAUUCUCCCACUCCCUGGGAGGAACUGAAAUUAGGGCUCGUGGGAGCCAGAUGGGCUGGGACUCCACAGAGGGGUGGAUAUCAGGAGAUGUUUCAGGCAAGUGUUCAGUGUGGUUGGUCUCACCCUUGCUGACAGAACCUGUCAGUCCAGGCAGAGGUGAGUGUAGAGAAGAACGUGCAGGAAAUGUAAAUUGAUGUGGAUCAUCUUAUACUCAUGAAGUUGGCUAAUUUUUAGAAGCCCUUGUGUGGGUAAGUGUAUGGUACAUGGGAACUCACUGCUGUGGGAAUGGAAAUUGUGACAACUGCUGUGCCAAGCAAUAUGUAAAAUCUGGUAAAAUUGUGUAUAUUCUGCCACCCAGAAUUCUACUCCUGGAUAAACCCUAAAGUAACUCCAUUUGAAGAAGGAGAUGUGUCUAUGACUGUUCAUUGCAGUACUGUGUAGAUAGCAAGAUUAGGAGAAGCCUAAAUUUCCAUCAGCAGAAGAACAGGUUGUUUUUGGUAAGUGAAUAUGAAAGAACUAGAGUUACAUCUUUCAACAUAGGUGAAUCAAAAAUGAUGCAGAGAAAGCUGGAGAAGCUGCACACCAUUUAUGUAAAGUUAAACAUACUGUGUAUCUGUGGGCACAUUAUUUAAACUUACUCGUGUUUCACUUGUUCUGUAAAAUGAGAUAGUAGUGCCAACCUCACCGGGUGAUGGGGGAGGGGGACAGUUAAUGAACUAAUGCAUGUAAACUGCUUAGAAUAGUGGCGGGCAUGUAAGCAUUGUUGGCAUAAGGUAGCCAGUGUUACUGUUUUACACAAUAAUAUAUUUCCUGUGAUUCAAGUUAUAUGAGAUGAAGAGUGUAAAAUCCUGUGUUAGAAUGAUGUGUGAAAGCCAUGCUCUGCCUUCCCAGAGCAGGAGUUGCUGAUGGAAGCAGGGAGGGUACAUGGAGGUUUCAGUUGUGUUUUCUUUCUUUUAAAAUGUUGAUGUAGUUGGGUCCGCAUGUUGAUUUAAUGGGAUAUGUGAUGGGUUCUUUUCUAACUGUGUGUUUAAGAUAUCUCAAAAUAAAAGUAUUUUUAAGCAUGGGCUCUGCC
ensembl:lncRNA